AAGGAUUAGAUACCCUGGUAGUCCACGCCGUAAACGAUGUCUACUGGUUGUUGGUCACCUUAGUGUGAUCAGUAACGAAGCUAACGCAUUAAGUAGACCNCCUGGGGAGUACGGCCGCAAGGCUAAAACUCAAAAUGAAAUUGAGGGGGCCCGCGACAAGCGGUGGAGCAUGUGGUUUAAUUCGAAGCAACGCGAAGAACCUUACCUGGCCUUGACAUCGUGCGAAUCUUUUAGAGAUAAGAGAGUGCCUUCGGGAACGCACAGACAGGUGCUGCAUGGCU
rnacentral:rRNA from 1 species